rnacentral:rRNA from 1 species
AAUGAACGCUGGCGGCAUGCCUAACACAUGCAAGUCGAACGAAGGCUUCGGCCUUAGUGGCGCACGGGUGCGUAACGCGUGGGAAUCUGCCCUUGGGUUCGGAAUAACAGUUAGAAAUGACUGCUAAUACCGGAUGAUGACGUAAGUCCAAAGAUUUAUCGCCCAGGGAUGAGCCCGCGUAGGAUUAGCUAGUUGGUGAGGUAAAGGCUCACCAAGGCGACGAUCCUUAGCUGGUCUGAGAGGAUGAUCAGCCACACUGGGACUGAGACACGGCCCAGACUCCUGCGGGAGGCAGCAGUGGGGAAUAUUGGACAAUGGGCGAAAGCCUGAUCCAGCAAUGCCGCGUGAGUGAUGAAGGCCUUAGGGUUGUAAAGCUCUUUUACCCGGGAUGAUAAUGACAGUACCGGGAGAAUAAGCUCCGGCUAACUUCGUGCCAGCCGCCGCGGUAA